GCUCUUGGCCGAGCUGAGAUUCUCCUCGCUGGAAAGCCAGAUGUUCCAGCUGAAAUACGGAGGAAACGACGAGGCUGCAGAGCUGGAGUUAAACGCCGGGAGAGAAGACGGAGCGGGUGUACCGGGAGAGCAGCCUGCUGUGUUUCACUGAGACGUGGCUCCACCAGGACAUGACAAACUCCGUGGUCUCAGUUCCCAGUGCGGCGGACCGGAGCGCGGCGCAGAGCGGAAAGAAGAAAGGCGGUGGUCUGGCGGUGUUGAUGAACAUCUGAUGGUGUAACCAAAACCACAUUCCUGUGAAAGAACAGCACUGCAGCAAGGACAUUGAACUGGUGGCAGUCAGCGUUCGGCUGUACUUCGUCCCACAGGAGUUCUCCGUUGUGCUGGUGGUCACCGUGCACUAGGGAUGGGUAUCGUUAAGGUUCUAACGGUACUACUACUCUCAUUGAUACUGCUUAUCGAUCCGGUAUUUUAACGAUAGUCUUAUCGAUACUUUUGAGGAAGAAAAAUACAUAAAUAACAAAUUAGGAACAUAAAGUGUUUAAUUUCCUCAUUAUGCAACAACAUUGUUUUUUUAACUGGACAUUUGACUUUAUGCAUGAUAAUGUUACAACACAAACCUGGAAUUGCCGAUAUAUCGCUAUAUUAUCGCCGAUAGUUUAUUUGGCAAUACUUGUAUUGGUUCAAAAUACUGUCAGGAUAUUUAUUUAAUUUAAAUAAUUUUUAUUCUUUGUGAGCGUGAUGUUUCCUUUGAUCUUUGUCCAUUUUGUUAAGAUGAAUUUGAUGAUGGAAACAAAUUCACUUUAAUGCA